AAAAAGAUAAGCUAAGUAAAGCUAAUGGGUUCAUACCCCAUAUAUAAAGAUUAUUCUUUUCUUUUUA
rnacentral:tRNA from 1 species